UUCUACUGAGUCAACUCUUCCUCUUCUGCAUGGAAGCCAGUAAGGCAGCCCAGGAAAGGCUACUCCACUUCCUCAGUCUUGAGUGGCCAGGAGGUUCCACUCCAGCCUAUCUUUGGAAUAGCAAGGACAGGGGAAGAUAAUCAAUGGGUCAAAUCAGACUUUGUAGUCAUUUCUAUAAAACAAAAAAGUCUGUUAUUCAGAUCAAAAGGAAGCACAAAGGACAAAAUGCUAGUGGGUGAAUCAUGGGCUGAGCUCAACCUUGAGAACAAAGUCAAGGCUAGUGCUGUGCUGUCGGGAGCCUCCCUGCCUCAUCUGGCACCUAAACAAAGGGCAACUGUGCUGCCCAAGCCAAGGUCUGGGCCCAGGAAAUGAGCUAGGCUUUCAGUUUAUCCUAACUAUGUACCCCCAGGAAAGCUGUAACUAACUUCAGAAGCCUAGCCCAUAAUGCCUGUUAGACUUAUCUGAGGAGUAGGCAUGAUGUCUGCGCAGGAUCCUGGCUGAGGGACAUGUUCUCACUGUAGCUGUCCCAACAGGAAGCAAGUUGGAUCAACUGCACCUCCCCAUGAGGCCUAGAAGGUGAACCAUUCCCCUGGCUGUAGCUGAACGUGGUAGAGGGGACAGGAUGCUUGUGAUUGGACCAACUCCCACCUCACAAGAGUCUCUCUCCUGCACUGUGACAGAGGGAACUGUAGCCCCUGGGAGAUUCCAACAUGGCAGACUCCACACAAUGACAUCAAGUCAAGAGCCACCUUCAGCAGACAGCAGCUGGCAGCUGAAGUUUUUUACGUCGAAGACUGAAAUGAACAGUAUGCUGCCAACAACACAGAACAGCUGGAAUUGCUGCCCUGGGCUGGGUUUCGGAUGUGCACAUGGCCCCAACAACACCUCAACUGUAGUCUCAGGAGACCUGAAUUCAAGGCAGAGCUAAGGGGCCUAAGGGCUGCCUCAGAAAAACUCAACAGGAGCAGAUCUGUGUUUCUUUGAGUGGGAAGUCCAUGCUGAUUUGAGCAGUGCCAUAGAUAGAGAAUGCACUUAGUAGGAUUAGCAAAUGUCUCAGGUCAGAGAGAGACCAGAAAAGUCCCAAAGCAGGGCUCUGUCCCAGCUUCUGAGGCUGAAAUGGGGAACUCUGAGAUCUGUGCCAGAACCAAACACAAUGUUAUUUGCCCAGCAUACACACUGGAUGUUUGCUGAGUACGAACACGAAAACGUUCUCUGAGCCCUUUAAGUCCUCACUUUUAUUCUGUGUACUGAGCAUGACUCAUGCACACGGCCGUCAAUCUGCCAUCUCCCUGGGGAUGUCAAGGCAGAUCCCGGGUGGCAAGGCCUCCACAGCUAAAUCUCCGGUCCCCACUUUAAGCCUGACCUCCAUCCUGACUUGCCUAUCCAUAAACAGCCCACUUGGAACUGGUCACCACCUCUCACGCCACAGCCACUUCUUUGUCCUUUGGAAAUAUACUUCAAAGCCAAGCAACAAUGCCCCUGGCUAUGGUGACAGCCUGACUGUCACCAGACAGACACCCCAACUCCAGCCUGAGCUCACAGCCACCCCCACUGGCCUCCUACUGCCGCGUCUGCCCUCUUCCACUUAAUCUCCAAACUCCAGCCAAAACAGCUAUUUUCUUAAGUGAAAUUGCAAAUUUUAGUCCUACUUAAAACCUUCCCUGGCAUCCAGUGCCUCUUGAUCAAAUGAAGUCACUUGACCCCUGAGCGGCCUGAGUCAGCAGGACCUGCAGCUCUGGGUGAGCUAAGUCUAAUUCCUCAUCUUUCCCUACAGACAGCCACAGCCCUACUGGGCCAGGAAUUUCCAGGAGCUGGGAGCUGGUGUCUCCUAUGCUGGCUAAAAUAUCCCACCUUCUCGUGCAUCUCAACUUUAGCAUUAAUCCCUGUAAGAGGCCUUUCUUACAUGGCAUUCCUUUCUUCACUGUACACAGCAAGAUUACUAAGCAGAAAAUUACAUAUGUGCUUGUUAUGUAUGUUAA